rnacentral:lncRNA from 1 species
AAGAGGGCGGUUGACGCACAUAGAUUAAGGAUUGGGUCUUGGAACAUAGGCACUCUGACGGGUAACUCUAUUGAGUUUGCAAAGGUUCUUCAGCAGAGAAGGGUUAACAUAGCGUGCGUCCAGGAGACUAGGUGGAAAGGGACAAAGGCGCGGGAUGCUGAUGGGUAUAAGCUGUGGUACACUGGGCUCGAGAGGGGUAAGAAUGGAGUGGGAAUCUUGGUUGAUAGGGACCUAAGGGAGUCCGUGGUUGAGGUUAGGCGAGUGACGCGGGAUGUUGAUGGGUAUAAGCUGUGGUACACUGGGCUCGAGAGGGGUAAGAAUGGAGUGGGAAUCUUUGGUUGAUAGGGACCUAAGGGAGUCCGUGGUUGAGGUUAGGCGAGUGAAUGAUAGGUUAAUGUCUAUUAAGCUGGUUAUUGGGGGCGGAGUCCUCAACGUCGUCAGCGCUUACGCGCCGCACGCAGGCUUAGACGAGGAGGCUAAAAGGCGCUUUUGGGAGGACUUGGAUGAGCUGGUGGGGAGUAUCCCCCAGUCUGAGAAGUUAGUUAUUGGAGGGGACUUUAAUGGUCAUAUUGGGGCUGAGGCUGGUGGAUAUGAUGAGGUGCACGGGGGCUUUGGCUUUGGUGNNNN